AAAUUUAUUAGCCUGGAAGAAGAUUCUUAGCUCCUGAGACAGAGGGCGCCUUUUCAACACUUAGCUUUGUCCAAAGGACUGGAUGGAACGCUGGAAUUUUUGCCAAUCCAAAAUAAUCUUGCAUCUUUUCUUCAUUUUUAUUUUACUUCUCCAAUGAUGCUGCCAAGACUGAAGAUGGCCCUGGCCAUAAUCAACCCUCUGCAUCUUCAUUCCUCCAAGGUAACCGUGUUUUGAGCCGACGAUGUGAAACGCAGCUUAGUAUUCGAUCGCGGCUGUCCCGUGUCAUUUAACCAUUGGGAAUAAAGUUCAAUUUACUCAGUCAAC